AUUGAACGCUGGCGGAAUGCUUUACACAUGCAAGUCGAACGGCAGCACGGGGCAACCUGGUGGCGAGUGGCGAACGGGUGAGUAAUACAUCGGAACGUGCCCAAUCGUGGGGGAUAACGUAGCGAAAGUUACGCUAAUACCGCAUACGAUCUACGGAUGAAAGCGGGGGAUCGCAAGACCUCGCGCGAAUGGAGCGGCCGAUGUCAGAUUAGGUAGUUGGUGGGGUAAAGGCUCACCAAGCCAACGAUCUGUAGCUGGUCUGAGAGGACGACCAGCCACACUGGAACUGAGACACGGUCCAGACUCCUACGGGAGGCAGCAGUGGGGAAUUUUGGACAAUGGGCGCAAGCCUGAUCCAGCCAUUCCGCGUGCAGGAUGAAGGCCUUCGGGUUGUAAACUGCUUUUGUACGGAACGAAACGGUCUGCCCUAAUACGGUGGGCUAAUGACGGUACCGUAAGAAUAAGCACCGGCUAACUACGUG
rnacentral:rRNA from 1 species